GACGAACGCUAGCGGCGUGCUUAACACAUGCAAGUCGAACGGAAAGGCCCCCUUGUGGGGUACUCGAGUGGCGAACGGGUGAGUAACACGUGAGUAACCUACCCUUGACUUUGGGAUAACUUCAGGAAACUGGGGCUAAUACCGGAUAGGAGCUCCUGCUGCAUGGUGGGGGUUGGAAAGUUUCGGCGGUUGGGGAUGGACUCGCGGCUUAUCAGCUUGUUGGUGGGGUAGUGGCUCACCAAGGCUUUGACGGGUAGCCGGCCUGAGAGGGUGACCGGCCACAUUGGGACUGAGAUACGGCCCAGACUCCUACGGGAGGCAGCAGUGGGGAAUAUUGCACAAUGGGCGGAAGCCUGAUGCAGCAACGCCGCGUGCGGGAUGACGGCCUUCGGGUUGUAAACCGCUUUCGCCUGUGACGAAGCGUGAGUGACGGUAAUGGGUAAAGAAGCACCGGCUAACUACGUG
rnacentral:rRNA from 1 species